rnacentral:rRNA from 1 species
GAUGAACGCUGGCGGCGUGCCUAAUACAUGCAAGUCGAGCGAACAGAUGAGGAGCUUGCUCCUCUGACGUUAGCGGCGGACGGGUGAGUAACACGUGGAUAACCUACCUAUAAGACUGGGAUAACUUCGGGAAACCGGAGCUAAUACCGGAUAAUAUAUUGAACCGCAUGGUUCAAUAGUGAAAGACGGUUUUGCUGUCACUUAUAGAUGGAUCCGCGCCGCAUUAGCUGGUUGGUAAGGUAACGGCUUACCAAGGCAACGAUGCGUAGCCGACCUGAGAGGGUGAUCGGCCACACUGGAACUGAGACACGGUACAGACUCCUACGGGAGGCAGCAGUAGGGAAUCUUCCGCAAUGGGCGAAAGCCUGACGGAGCAACGCCGCGUGAGUGAUGAAGGUCUUCGGAUCGUAAAACUCUGUUAUUAGGGAAGAACAAAUGUGUAAGUAACUAUGCACGUCUUGACGGUACCUAAUCAGAAAGCCACGGCUAACUACGUG